GAUGAACGCUGGCGGCGUGCUUAACACAUGCAAGUCGAACGGAAAGGCCCAAGCUUGCUUGGGUACUCGAGUGGCGAACGGGUGAGUAACACGUGGGUGAUCUGCCCUGCACUUCGGGAUAAGCCUGGGAAACUGGGUCUAAUACCGGAUAGGACGAUGGUUUGGAUGCCAUUGUGGAAAGUUUUUUCGGUGUGGGAUGAGCUCGCGGCCUAUCAGCUUGUUGGUGGGGUAAUGGCCUACCAAGGCGUCGACGGGUAGCCGGCCUGAGAGGGUGUACGGCCACAUUGGGACCGAGAUACGGCCCAGACUCCUACGGGAGGCAGCAGUGGGGAAUAUUGCACAAUGGGCGCAAGCCUGAUGCAGCGACGCCGCGUGGGGGAUGACGGCCUUCGGGUUGUAAACUCCUUUCGCUAGGGACGAAGCGUUUUUGUGACGGUACCUGGAGAAGAAGCACCGGCUAACUACGUG
rnacentral:rRNA from 1 species